GGAGAGGUCGCUUAGUGGCCUAGAGCGCCGCCUUGGAAAGGCGGUUUACCGCAAGGUAUCGAGGGUUCGAAUCCCUCCCUCUCCGCCA
rnacentral:tRNA from 3 species